GUGGAUAGCUCAGUCAAUAGAGCAUGAGACUCUUAAUCUCAAGGUCGUGGGUUCGAGCCCCACGCUGGGCA